rnacentral:tRNA from 1 species
GGAGAGGUGCCGGAGUGGUCGAACGGGGCGGUCUCGAAAACCGUUGUGCGAGUAAUCGUACCGAGGGUUCGAAUCCCUCCCUCUCCGCCA